CGAGGUCAACCUUUGGAAAAUUGGGGGUUUUACGGCAAGAGUCCCUCCGGAUCCCAGUGCGAGACGUAAAGUUACUACGCAAAGGAGGCUCCGGGAGGGUCCGCCACUACCUUUGAGGGCCUACAUCAGCUGUAGGGCCCCAACACCAAGCAGAGCUUGAGGGUUGAAAUGACGCUCGAACAGGCAUGCCCGCCAGAAUGCUGGCGGGCGCAAUGUGCGUUCAAAGAUUCGAUGAUUCACUGAAUUCUGCAAUUCACAUUACUUAUCGCAUUUCGCUGCGUUCUUCAUCGAUGCCAGAACCAAGAGAUCCGUUGUUAAAAGUUUUGAUUAUUUGCUUGUACCACUCAGAAGAAACGUCGUUAAAUCAGAGUUUGGUUAUCCUCCGGCGGGCGCCGACCCGCCCGGGGGCGGGAGGCCGGGAGGGUCACGGAGACCCUACCCGCCGAAGCAACAGUUAUAGGUAUGUUCACAAAGGGUUGUAGAGCGUA
rnacentral:misc_RNA from 1 species